GGAACUCAAACUUCCUUGGUUGAUAAUUCUCAAUGGGUUACUGCAUAUCACGAAUCAGUUAGAAUUAUUUUCCAUCUCGCAACCUGUCCGGUCAAUGCUAGCUUCUCAAGCACAUACUUGAUCGGAUCCAUCUUGGAAAUCCACAAAGUGGUAUGAACCAGCAUAUACUGUCUCAGUCGGCGAGCAGCCUAUGCCAAAGUACGUCAAGUUUUCUCGAGCAGUGAAUGUAUUGUUUCACAGUCGAUAAACUUUUUGCUAAGGUAAAUUGCAUGCUCUUUUCGACCAGACUCGUCAUGCUGAUACAAUACGCACCUCAUAGACCCCUCGAGGGCUGUCAAGUACCAGAUUAACAGUUGUUCCUUCCGCCGGAGGCAUCAGAAUCAGAGGUUCCUGCAACUUAUUCUUUUAUCUUUCAAUGCCCUUGGCAAUCAUUAUCCUACCUGACCGUUUGAUCUCUUUUUCUUCGGUUCAGGCAUUUCUGGUAUUGUUUUUUUCUUUUUUUUCUUUCUUUCUUUUUACUUUUUUUUCUUUUCCUUUUUCAUUUUUUUCUUUUCUUUUUUCAUUUUUUUUAGCAGGAUCGACCUUGAUUCCUCUUUCAUUCCCAAUAAGCCUCGGCAACUUACCGGACAGCACUCCACAAGUGCACUGAUUCGGACUCAACCUCAGUCUGAGUUGUCCCAACCGGUCAAACAACUUGUCCUCA
rnacentral:lncRNA from 1 species